CUGUACUGCAGUAAGACAGAACUGUGGGGACACGUGUGGAGAGCAUAGGCGCGGAAUGGAAAGCCGCGUGCAAGCGAGGUAGGAGUCCUGUAGGAAAAACCGCAGGGCAAUCCGAAGGCGUGAUGCGGACCGAAAUCUAGUAGGGAAGUAUGUGAGCCAUGCGUCAAGAAAAGCCGCUAUUGUUCUUAUUGUACCCGUACCGUAAACCGACACAGGUGGAUGAGGAGAGAAUCCUAAGGCCGACGGGAGAAGCAUUGUUAAGGAACUCGGCAAAAUGACCCCGUAACUUCGGGAGAAGGGGUGCCACAGAAAUGUGGCCGCAGAGAAUAGGCUCAAGCAACUGUUUAGCAAAAACACAGGUCUAUGCAAAACCGAAAGGUGAGGUAUAUGGGCUGACGCCUGCCCGGUGCUGGAAGGUUAAGAGGAGAGGUUAGCGCAAGCGAAGCUUUGAAUUGAAGCCCCAGUAAACGGCGGCCGUAACGAUAACGGUCCUAAGGUAGCGAAAUUCCUUGUCGGGUAAGUUCCGACCCGCACGAAAGGCGUAAUGAUUUGAGCGCUGUCUCGACAAUGCAUCCGGUGAAAUUGAAGUACCAGUGAAGAUGCUGGUUACCUGCGCCAGGACGGAAAGACCCCAUGGAGCUUUACUCCAGCUUGAUACUGGGAUUCGGUAUUGCAUGUACAGGAUAGGUGGGAGGCUGAGAAUCGGUAACGCCAGUUGCCGAGGAGCCAUUGUUGGGAUACCACCCUUGCAGUACUGGGUUUCUAACCAGCAGCCGUGACCCGGCUGGGGGACAAUGUCAGGUGGGGAGUUUGACUGGGGCGGUCGCCUCCGAAAGGGUAUCGGAGGCGCUCAAAGGUUCCCUCAGAAUGGUUGGAAACCAUUCGAAGAGUGCAAAGGCAGAAGGGAGCUUGACUGCGACACCGACGGGUGGAGCAGGUACGAAAGUAGGACUUAGUGAUCCGGUGGUAUUAAGUGGGAAUGCCAUCGCUCAACGGAUAAAAGCUACCCUGGGAUAACAGGCUUAUCACUCCCAAGAGUUCACAUCGACGGAGUGGUUUGGCACCUCGAUGUCGGCUCAUCGCAUCCUGGGGCUGUAGUAGGUCCCAAGGGUUGGGCUGUUCGCCCAUUAAAGCGGUACGCGAGCUGGGUUCAGAACGUCGUGAGACAGUUCGGUCCCUAUCCGGCGUGGGCGUAGGAUAUCUGAGAGGAGCUGUCCUUAGUACGAGAGGACCGGGAUGGACGGACCGCUGGUGUACCUGUUGCAGUGCCAGCUGCAUGGCAGGGUAGCCAAGUCCGGAAGGGAUAAACGCUGAAGGCAUCUAAGCGGGAAGCCCCCCUCAAGAUGAGAUAUCCCAUUCGGAAGAAGUAAGAUCCCUUGAAGACGACGAGGUAGAUAGGGCAGAGGUGGAAGUGCAGUAAUGUAUGGAGCUGACUGUUACUAAUCGGUCGAGGGUUUGACC
rnacentral:rRNA from 1 species